AUUGCAAUCCCCACCCACCUCUCUCAAGCAAUGAAAUCAAUCAAAUCAGCUAGGCUUUCUCUUUGGGGUUUGACAAACAUCAAACAAUUUAUUUCCUUGUGAAUGAGCAAUCGAUCCGAUAGAAUCCUUUCAGGGUUUUGAUUUUGGUUUAGAUACGGUAGGGGAGCACAACGAAAGGAAAAAA